rnacentral:rRNA from 1 species
UACGUAGGGGGCAAGCGUUGUCCGGAAUCAUUGGGCGUAAAGCGCGUGUAGGCGGUCCGGUAAGUCCGCUGUGAAAGUCGGGGGCUUAACCCUCGGAUGCCGGUGGAUACUGUCGGGCUUGAGUACGGAAGAGGCGAGUGGAAUUCCUGGUGUAGCGGUGAAAUGCGCAGAUAUCAGGAGGAACACCAAUUGCGAAGGCAGCUCGCUGGGACGUUACUGACGCUGAGACGCGAAAGCGUGGGAGCAAACAGG